GGUAUUCCUACAGCAGAAAGAAAACAUUUACAAAACCUUUAGAGAUUGGUCUAUUUAUGACAGAUUGCUCUAUUCUGAGGGUAUGAGAGAGUAAACAUUUCUUCUCAAUAGCAAAGCAAUAAAAUGGGGAUGGAACUUCUCCUAUCCAGAGCAGCGGAGUUAUUCCAGGAAUUUAGAAAGCAUGGACAAAGGCUCCUAAAAGUGA